GUGCUUCACUUCAACAGCACAUAUACUAAAAUUAGAACAAUACAGAGAUUAGUUUGGCCCCUGUGCAAGGAUGACACACAAAUUCAUGAAGCAUUCCAUAUUUCU
ensembl:snRNA U6 U6 spliceosomal RNA